rnacentral:rRNA from 1 species
UACGUAGGGGGCAAGCGUUGGUCCGGAAUCAUUGGGCGUAAAGAGCGUGUAGGCGGCCAGACAGGUCCGUUGUGAAAACUCGAGGCUCAACCUCGAGACGCCGAUGGAAACCGUCUGGCUAGAGUCCGGAAGAGGAGAGUGGAAUUCCUGGUGUAGCGGUGAAAUGCGCAGAUAUCAGGAAGAACACCCGUGGCUAAGGCGGCUCUCUAGUACGGUACUGACGCUGAGACGCGAAAGCGUGGGGAGCGAACAGG